UAGACAAGAUAAUAACCAAUAAAUACAAUAACUGGAAUGAGCAAAAUAAUAACCGAUUAAAUAAACAAAUAGUUAGAAACCAUAAUAAGUCAAAAUAAUGAACACAAUGAUUGUCAUGAGUCCAGAUAGUUAAAAACCAGAUUAAUUAAAUAAAUAAUAGCAAGCACAGUGAGUCAAUACAACAAAAACGAUAAUUAGAAUAUGUCAAGAUAGAUAAUAACUAGC
rnacentral:lncRNA from 1 species